UGAUGUUAGCGGCGGACGGGUGAGUAACACGUGGGUAACCUGCCUGUAAGACUGGGAUAACUCCGGGAAACCGGGGCUAAUACCGGAUGGUUGUUUGAACCGCAUGGUUCAAACAUAAAAGGUGGCUUCGGCUACCACUUACAGAUGGACCCGCGGCGCAUUAGCUAGUUGGUGAGGUAACGGCUCACCAAGGCAACGAUGCGUAACCGACCUGAGAGGGUGAUCGGCCACACUGGGACUGACACACGGCCCACACUCCUACGGGAGGCAGCAGUAGGGAAUCUUCCGCAAUGGACGAAAGUCUGACGGACCAACGCCGCGUGAGUGAUGAAGGUUUUCGGAUCGUAAAGCUCUGUUGUUAGGAAAGAACAAGUACCGUUCGAAUAGGGCGGUACCUUGACGGUACCUAACCAGAAAGCCACGGCUAACUACGUGCCACCAGCCGCGGUAAUACGUAGGUGGCAAGCGUUGUCCGGAAUUAUUGGGCGUAAAGGGCUCGCAGGCGGUUUCUUAAGUCUGAUGUGAAAGCCCCCGGCUCAACCGGGGAGGGUCAUUGGAAACUGGGGAACUUGAGUGCAAAAAAAGAGAGUGUAAUUCCACGUGUAGCGGUGAAAUGCAUAUAGAUGUGAAGGAACACCAGUGGCGAAAGCCACUCUCUGGUCUGUAACUGACACUGACGA
rnacentral:rRNA from 1 species